AUUUGAACUGGUGACACGAGGAUUUUCAGUCCUCUGCUCUACCGACUGAGCUAUCCCGGCCAAUGUCUCUACGGAGAUGCCUCAAAUUCAAAUGAGACGGAUAUCUUUUCUCUUCGAUCUAUCUCUGCCCAAUUGAACUGAACCAAUAAAUAACCUUGGUAAAACAAUAUUAUUGUUGUUCAAUAUUUUAUUGAGUUUUCAAAUGAACCACUCAAAUAGCCUUUUAGGCUUGGUGAGUGGUUCAUUUGUGAUCAAUACUCAAAUAAGAUGUUAAACUGCUUUCAAAAGGAUAUGGUAUUAAUCCAAAUUGAUCGAGCUAUGAGUCAAAGAUAUAAGAUUUGCUACCCCCUCCUCUAGUUCGAAGAAGUGAGAAAACCAUAUGGAUCUGAAUAAUCUAUAUAUAGAUUGGAGAUUAUACCCUGUUCUGUUGGGGAUAGAGGGACUUGAACCCUCACGGUCCUAUAAAGACCAACGGAUUUUCUUUCUACCACAAUUUGCAUUGCUACUUCUAGUAACCGUGUAGAAUGGGACUCUAUCUUUAUCCACGAUAAGAUUAUUAAUUGCUACUAUUUGUCAAGUAGUAAUCAUUAGAAUACUAUGGGAGACAGGCACUGUAACAGGUAGAAAAGAGAUAUGAGAGUUAGGAGUAAUAGAAUCUAUAUAUCUAUAAUUUGAUAAAUUGAAAUUAUUGGUGUGAUCCUGCGAACGAAUGUCAAUUUUAAACCGACAACUGGGGUCGCGUUCGAUCCUUAUCCAACUAGAAAAAGCUUUUUUUUCCUUUCUUCGUCCCAUAUUCCUGUGCUUUAUCUCGUUCGAUCACCCAUAUGGAGCAGUUACAUAUUCAGUUACUUUAGAAAUAAGAAUUAAUAGAUUGUUCGUUAGAAUAGCCCCCGUCGAGUCUCUGUACCUAUCUCGUUUCGUCAUCUAAAAUUUAGAUGAGAUGAGAUUUGGCUCAGGAUUGCCCGCAAAAUAAUCCUAGGUUCCCCCGAAUCUGGGAGCUGUCACUCGGUACGUUUCCAUACCUAGGCUCAAUCUGAUUGAGUCCGUAGCGUCUACCGAUUUCG
rnacentral:misc_RNA from 1 species